rnacentral:rRNA from 1 species
AUGGAGCAGCGCCACCGACCGGCCGCGGCCGCUGAUGACACAACUAAGAGAAGGACCACCAAAAGCAAAAGUUUCAAAGAUGUCGAGAACUAUGAAGUUCUUGUCCUUGAGAAGAACUGCGGUUGCAAGUUCAAAUCCUUGCGCUACUUGCUUAUAGCUAUUGUUUCUGCGACAUUUCUUACCCUCCUGACUCCGACGCUGUACGAGCGCCAGCUACAAUCAAGUUCUCGGUAUGUUGAUGUUGACUGGAUAUGGGACAAAACAAGUGCUGAUCCACGAUAUGUAUCAUCCGCUGAUGUUCAGUGGGCCGAUGUAUAUACAGCUAUAGAAGAUCUUAGUGCUGGUAACCAAGAGCUCAAAAUUGGACUCCUGAAUUUUAACAGCACCGAGUAUGGCUCUUGGUCGCGCAUACUCCCCGAAAGCCAUGUUUCGAUUAUAAGACUUGAGCAUGCCAAGGACAGCAUUACUUGGCCUAAACUAUAUCCUGAAUGGAUAGAUGAGGAGGAAGAAUCUGAGAUACCUUCCUGUCCAUCAUUUCCAGAGCCUAAUGUCCGAAGAGGCGCGUGGUUUGAUGUUAUUGCUGUGAAACUUCCCUGUACAAGGGUGGCUGGUUGGUCAAGAGAUGUUGCAAGGCUUCAUUUGCAGCUCUCUGCGGCAAAACUGGCCGUGACCUCUUCAAGAGGCAACCGGAAGGUCCAUGUGCUCUUUGUGACGGACUGCUUCCCCAUCCCCAACCUCUUCCCCUGCAAGAACCUUGUGAAGCAUGAAGGCAAUGCUUGGUUGUAUAGGCCUGAUUUGAAAGCAGUAAGGGAGAAGCUUAGGCUUCCUGUUGGAUCAUGCGAGCUUGCUAUUCCACUUAAAGCAAAAGCAAGACUUUUCUCGGUAGACCGAAGAAGAGAAGCAUAUGCGACUAUACUGCAUUCAGCAAGUGAAUAUGUAUGUGGUGCUAUCACAGCAGCUCAGAGCAUCCGGCAAGCAGGAUCAACUAGGGACUUGGUUAUCCUUGUUGAUAACACCAUAAGUGACCACCACCGGAGAGGCUUGGAAGCUGCAGGCUGGAAGGUCAGAAUAAUUGAAAGGAUCAGGAACCCAAAAGCCGAGCGUGAUGCCUACAAUGAAUGGAACUACAGCAAGUUCAGGUUAUGGCAGCUGACGGACUACGACAAGAUCAUAUUCAUAGAUGCUGACCUCCUCAUCCUGAGGAAUGUGGACUUCCUGUUUGCAAUGCCAGAGAUCACCGCGACCGGCAACAACGCGACCCUCUUCAACUCCGGCGUCAUGGUCAUCGAGCCCUCAAACUGCACGUUCCAGCUGCUGAUGGAGCACAUCAAUGAGAUCACGUCGUACAACGGCGGUGACCAGGGGUACCUGAAUGAGAUAUUCACAUGGUGGCACCGCAUCCCGAAGCACAUGAACUUCCUGAAGCACUUCUGGGAGGGCGACAGCGAGGAGGCCAAGGCGAAGAAGACCCAGCUGUUUGGCGCCGACCCGCCGAACCUCUACGUGCUUCACUACCUGGGCCUGAAGCCAUGGCUGUGCUUCAGGGACUACGACUGCAACUGGAACAACUUCAUGAUGCGCGAGUUCGCAAGCGACGUCGCGCACAGCCGGUGGUGGAAGACGCACGACAAGAUGCCCCGGAAGCUCCAGUCCUACUGCCUUCUGAGGACAAGGCAGAAGGCUGGGCUGGAGUGGGACCGGAGGCAGGCGGAGAAGGCGAACCUGGAGGAUGGGCAUUGGCGGCGGAACAUCACCGAUCCGAGGCUCAAGACCUGCUUCGAGAAGUUUUGCUUCUGGGAGAGCAUGCUGUGGCACUGGGGCGAGGCGAAGAACCAGACGAAGAGCAUCCCCGCGCCGGCGACGCCUGCGACGAUGAGCUUGUCAAGUUCGUGA